ensembl:snoRNA
AACCAUCUCAAGUUAAAACAUAUGAAAUAUUUCAUUAGGAUGCUAAAGGAAAUAAUCCCUGUGCUUUCUUUCUGUCUUUACAGCAGCCAAGAUUGAAUUGGGGAAUACAUCU